GACAAACGCUGGCGGCGUGCCUAACACAUGCAAGUCGAACGAAGCACUGGAGAAAGAGACUUCGGUCAAUGACUCCAUUGACUUAGUGGCGGACGGGUGAGUAAUGCGUGAGCAACCUGCCUUGGAGAGGGGGACAACAGCUGGAAACGGCUGCUAAUACCGCAUGAAGUCGUUGGGGGGCAUCCUUUGACGACCAAAGAUUUAUCGCUCUGAGAUGGGCUCACGUCUGAUUAGUUAGUUGGUAGGGUAACGGCCUACCAAGACCGCGAUCAGUAGCCGGACUGAGAGGUUGAACGGCCACAUUGGGACUGAGAUACGGCCCAG
rnacentral:rRNA from 1 species